rnacentral:lncRNA from 1 species
GUUUUAUUAGACUACAAAACUCUUAAUCAUGAAAUACUAACUCCCACCACAAUCUGAAGGAAUAUUCUACAAAAGGCACUUUUGUAAAUGUUGGCUUAUAGGAAAAUUUCAUACUUGUGCUUUUUAAAGCAGACCUCCUUAGCCUGUAAUGACAAAAAUAAUAUUUUUUGUUUUAUGGAUAAUCAACUGAGAGUCCAGGAGUUAUGGAAUAACUCAUUACGUAGAGAUAAUCAUUGGAGUGGUGGCCGAUCAAUCUCCGCAAUAGUUAAUAUGGUUAAUCAUUCCUGUCCUACCUUCUCCUUACCCCUCCCUACCUCCUUCCUUCCAUCUUCCUCUUUUCCUUCAUUUCCCUCUCCCCCACCUCUCACCGCGCUUCACCAUGUCAGGUUCUCUUCCUUUUUUUCAGCCCACUUCUCAAUCUCUUAUUCUCCUUUUGCUGACUGCUCAUCAUCUAUUCUGUCUUGAAACAUCUGCAUUCUUGUCAGUCUUCUUCCUUAGUUCUGCUCUGGCACAUUCUAUCUGAGUCAUCAUCUCACUCUCAGAACUUUAACUUGCCCUUGAAGAGUGGUGGCUUUCAAGUCAGUCCUCUAACCAUAACCACAUGUUAUGAUUUCAACAUGAAGCAUCCCACACAGGCUCAUGUGUGAGACAAUGCAAGAUUUUUCAUAGGGGAAAUUGAUUAGAUCAUGAGAGGUGGAAACUAAUCAGUGGAUUAGUCCAAUGACAUGGAUUAACUGAACAGUAACUGUUGGCAGGUAGGAUGUGGCUGGAGGACAUAGGUCACUGGGGAUGUAUCUUGGGGUUUAUAUUUUGUCCUUGGUGAACUGAACUGUCUGUUUCCUUACUGUCAUGUCCUGAGCUGCUUUCCUCCACCAUGUCCUUCCAUGAUGAAGUUCUGCUUCAGGCCCUGAGCUAUAAAAUCAGCUGACCAUGAACUGUAUCUCUGAAACUGUGAGCCAAAUUAAACUUUUUCUCUUCUAUGUUGUUCCUGUUGGGUCUCCUGUUCAUAGUGACACAAAGUUGACUAAAAUACCUUCCUUGGUUCUAGGUCCUUAUGAACACACUUUUAUCAGAUACUUCUUCCUGAAUACCAUAUCAGUGUCUCAAGUUCAAGUUCCUUCCAGACCCAUCUGUAAGUCUUCCCUAACUUUUGUGUGCCCUGAGUUGCCCACCAUCUACUGUGUAAGCCUGGGAGACAUGUUGAAUUCUUCUCUCCUAAUCAGUUCAAUUCAUGUGUUGACAAUCCCACAUUAAGUUGAACCUGGGUAUGGUCCUCUCUAUCCCAUCUCCUGGGCCCACAUUCUUACUACAUCAUUCAUGAGCAUCUCACUCUGCUUCCUGGGAGCCCUUCCUUCUCCUCCCUUUCCUGCCAGCCCUUCUUCCCCACUCUUCCUUUCAUGAGGAUCGUUCCCCACCCUUGCAAAUCUGACCCUGAAGGCUCAGUGUGGUCUCUUUGGGAGGGUUCCCUGCUAUCUCUAGAGUCAAGUCCAAGUUCUUCCACACUGAGUAAGUCCUUUGACCAUUUCACCUCCACUUCCUCCAGCUUCACCUUCCAGAUCAACAUGCCAUCUCCCAGGGACUCUGUAAAAAUUUCUGCUUUAUUAAAAUCUCCUUUCCCUCAAUGUGGGUUUUUUUGAUAUUUUUGUCCACCCAUAUAGUUAAUUGAUUAUUCAAAAUUCUGCUUGAAAAGUGAUUGGCAAUGAAACAUCUAACCUUGAACAAUUUUGAAGAAAAUUGGCAGUAUCAAAAAACUUUUUAGAAAUUCUUGAGUUCUAUCUCAUCUAACCUUGAACAAUUUUGAAGAAAAUUGGCAGUAUCAAAAAAUUUUUUAGAAAUUCUUGAGUUCUAUCUCUAUAGAUUCAUCUCUGAGAAUUCAGGCUUAGGAAAUCAUAAAAUUGAUAAAACACAUGGUAGACCAGAAGAUGUCAAUCACUAUGUUAUUUAUAAUGAAGAAUGUUCUCAAAAAUAGGACCAUUCAGUUGCUUAUUCAAUAUUCA